UACUAGUCUGAGUACAGUGCUGUUUACAACUAAUUGAUCACAACCAGUUACAGGUUUCCUUGUUCCUUCUCCAUUCCAAUUGCUUUAUUUGACUAGUCUUUA
rnacentral:Y_RNA from 1 species